rnacentral:lncRNA from 1 species
UAGACUUCAUACUUCAGGGGGUAGCAAUUCUCAAUAUCAUGACCGGGUGCUCCUUGGUGAAAGGCACAACGGAGUUCCGGUUUGUACCACCAUGGAAGUGGUUCAGGGAUUUGAGGUGGGUUUCUCGGUGGUAAAAGGUUCUUGAGAACCAAUGAUGGAUACAAUUUUGCGUAUGUCAUAGGAAUAGGGUCGAAAGAGACCUUCUUCCUCUCAAAGUUUUG